GACGAACGCUGGCGGCGUGCCUAAUACAUGCAAGUAGAACGCUGAAGGAGGAGCUUGCUCUUCUGGAUGAGUUGCGAACGGGUGAGUAACGCGUAGGUAACCUGCCUGGUAGCGGGGGAUAACUAUUGGAAACGAUAGCUAAUACCGCAUAACAGUAGAUGUUGCAUGACAUUUACUUAAAGGGUGCAAUUGCAUCACUACCAGAUGGACCUGCGUUGUAUUAGCUAGUUGGUGGGGUAACGGCUCACCAAGGCGACGAUACAUAGCCGACCUGAGAGGGUGAUCGGCCACACUGGGACUGAGACACGGCCCAGACUCCUACGGGAGGCAGCAGUAGGGAAUCUUCGGCAAUGGACGGAAGUCUGACCGAGCAACGCCGCGUGAGUGAAGAAGGUUUUCGGAUCGUAAAGCUCUGUUGUAAGAGAAGAACGAGUGUGAGAGUGGAAAGUUCACACUGUGACGGUAUCUUACCAGAAAGGGACGGCUAACUACGUG
rnacentral:rRNA from 1 species